CCUACGGGGGGCAGCAGUGAGGAAUAUUGGUCAAUGGACGAGAGUCUGAACCAGCCAAGUAGCGUGAAGGAUGACUGCCCUAUGGGUUGUAAACUUCUUUUAUAUGGGAAUAAAAUGUUCCAUGUGUGGGAUUUUGUAUGUACCAUAUGAAUAAGGAUCGGCUAACUCCGUGCCAGCAGCCGCGGUAAUACGGAGGAUCCGAGCGUUAUCCGGAUUUAUUGGGUUUAAAGGGAGCGUAGGUGGAUUGUUAAGUCAGUUGUGAAAGUUUGCGGCUCAACCGUAAAAUUGCAGUUGAAACUGGCAGUCUUGAGUACAGUAGAGGUGGGCGGAAUUCGUGGUGUAGCGGUGAAAUGCUUAGAUAUCACGAAGAACUCCGAUUGCGAAGGCAGUUCACUGGACUGCAACUGACACUGAGGCUCGAAAGUGUGGGUAUCAAACAGGAUUAGAUACCCGUGUAGUC
rnacentral:rRNA from 1 species